rnacentral:lncRNA from 1 species
CAGCACAGUUCCUGAGCAGAUCCAACACAGUUCUUUCACGUCCUGAGGAUUAUGUGUUCCUCCAUGGCCAUGUGUGGGCUCGGCCCCAGGUGGGUCUCUUCAGGGACUGUGACAGCGCUGCGGAGGCCGUGGUGACAGCCCUGCUCUGCGGUGACAGCCCUGCUCUGCGGUGACAGCCCUGCUCUGCGAGGGAUGGAUGGACCGAGCAGCGGAGGACUCCGAGCCGGUGAGUCACUCGGGAUGCUCCAGGCAACCUUGUUAAUUAGGACGCCUUAAGGCUGUUCACAGCAAGGGCUGCAGCAGCGCUCCUUCCCUGCUACCAUUAAGGCUGUCGCCGGCAAUCUGGAUGUCGGGAGGAGGUCUGGAUGUCCCUCUGUCCCGCUGACACCUCCCAGCCGUGGGCUGUCGGCACAUCUCAUCAGCCCCUGCAGUGUGUGAUGAGGCUCUUAAUGUGCACAGCAAACGAGGCCGUUCUGAGCCUCGGUGGCCACCUGUGUGCCC